GCAGUCGAGCGACAGAUAAGGAGCUUGCUCCUUUGACGUUAGCGGCGGACGGGUGAGUAACACGUGGGUAACCUACCUAUAAGACUGGAAUAACUCCGGGAAACCGGGGCUAAUGCCGGAUAACAUUUAGAACCGCAUGGUUCUAAAGUGAAAGAUGGUUUUGCUAUCACUUAUAGAUGGACCCGCGCCGUAUUAGCUAGUUGGUAAGGUAACGGCUUACCAAGGCAACGAUACGUAGCCGACCUGAGAGGGUGAUCGGCCACACUGGAACUGAGACACGGUCCAGACUCCUACGGGAGGCAGCAGUAGGGAAUCUUCCGCAAUGGGCGAAAGCCUGACGGAGCAACGCCGCGUGAGUGAUGAAGGUCUUCGGAUCGUAAAACUCUGUUAUUAGGGAAGAACAAAUGUGUAAGUAACUAUGCACGUCUUGACGGUACCUAAUCAGAAAGCCACGGCUAACUACGUGCCAGCAGCCGCGGUAAUACGUAGGUGGCAAGCGUUAUCCGGAAUUAUUGGGCGUAAAGCGCGCGUAGGCGGUUUCUUAAGUCUGAUGUGAAAGCCCACGGCUCAACCGUGGAGGGUCAUUGGAAACUGGGAAACUUGAGUGCAGAAGAGGAAGUGGAAUUCCAUGUGUAGCGGUGAAAUGCGCAGAGAUAUGGAGGACAACAGUGGCGAAGCGACUUUCUGGUCUGUACUGACGCUGAUGUGCGAAA
rnacentral:rRNA from 1 species